rnacentral:tRNA from 1 species
CGAGACAUUAACUCACAUCUUCUGAAUGCAACUCAGACCCUUUAAAUUAAGAUAAAGUUCUCUAGAAUGA